rnacentral:rRNA from 1 species
AACGAACGCUGGCGGCAUGCCUAACACAUGCAAGUCGAACGAGACCUUCGGGUCUAGUGGCGCACGUGUGCGUAACGCGUGGGAACCUGCACUUAGGUUCGGAAUAACUCCCCGAAAGGGGUGCUAAUACCGGAUAAUGUCUUCGGACCAAAGAUUUAUCGCCUUUGGAUGGGCCCGCGUUGGAUUAGCUAGUUGGUAGGGUAAAAGCCUACCAAGGCGACGUUCCAUAGCUGGUCUGAGAGGAUGAUCAGCCACACUGGGACUGCGACACGGCCCAGACUCCUACGGGAGGCAGCAGUGGGGAAUAUUGGACAAUGGGGGAAAGCCUGAUCCAGCAAUGCCGCGUGAGUGAUGAAGGCCUUAGGGUUGUAAAGCUCUUUUACCCGGGAUGAUAAUGACAGUACCGGGAGAAUAAGCUCCGGCUAACUCCGUG